rnacentral:rRNA from 1 species
GCAAGUCGAACGGGAAAGUUUUAGACGAGUACCGUGGCGAACGGGUGAGUAACGCGUGGGUAACCUGCCCUUGAGAGGGGGAUAACCAGCCGAAAGGCUGGCUAAUACCGCAUAGGACCACGGAGACGGGAGUCUCUGAGGUGAAAAGAGGCUUAGGCUUCUGCUUGAGGAUGGGCCCGCGUUCCAUUAGCUAGUUGGUGGGGUAAUGGCCUACCAAGGCAGAGAUGGAUAGCUGUUCUGAGAGGAAGAUC